rnacentral:rRNA from 1 species
UGAACGCUGGCGGCAGGCCUAACACAUGCAAGUCGCACGGUAACAGGAAGAAGCUUGCUUCUUUGCUGACGAGUGGCGGACGGGUGAGUAAUGUCUGGGAAACUGCCUGAUGGAGGGGGAUAACUACUGGAAACGGUAGCUAAUACCGCAUAACGUCGCAAGACCAAAGAGGGGGACCUUCGGGCCUCUUGCCAUCGGAUGUGCCCAGAUGGGAUUAGCUAGUAGGUGGGGUAACGGCUCACCUAGGCGACGAUCCCUAGCUGGUCUGAGAGGAUGACCAGCCACACUGGAACUGAGACACGGUCCAGACUCCUACGGGAGGCAGCAGUGGGGAAUAUUGCACAAUGGGCGCAAGCCUGAUGCAGCCAUGCCGCGUGUAUGAAGAAGGCCUUCGGGUUGUAAAGUACUUUCAGCGGGGAGGAAGGGAGUAAAGUUAAUACCUUUGCUCAUUGACGUUACCCGCAGAAGAAGCACCGGCUAACUCCGUG